GGUUAAGUUAGAAAGGGCGCACGGUGGAUGCCUUGGCACUAGGAGCCGAUGAAGGACGGGACGAACACCGAUAUGCUUCGGGGAGCUGUAAGCAAGCUUUGAUCCGGAGAUUUCCGAAUGGGGAAACCCCCACUCGUAAUGGAGUGGUAUCCAUAUCUGAAUACAUAGGAUAUGAGAAGGCAGACCCGGGAACUGAAACAUCUAAGUACCCGGAGGAAGAGAAAGCAAAUGCGAUUCCCUGAGUAGCGGCGAGCGAAACGGGACCAGCCCAAACCAAGAGGCUUGCCUCUUGGGGUUGUAGGACACUCUGUACGGAGUUACAAAGGAACGAGGUAGAUGAAGAGGUCUGGAAAGGCCCGCCAUAGAAGGUAACAGCCCUGUAGUCAAAACUUCGUUCUCUCCUGAGUGGAUCCUGAGUACGGCGGAACACGUGAAAUUCCGUCGGAAUCCGGGAGGACCAUCUCCCAAGGCUAAAUACUCCCUAGUGACCGAUAGUGAACCAGUACCGUGAGGGAAAGGUGAAAAGCACCCCGGAAGGGGAGUGAAAGAGAUCCUGAAACCGUGUGCCUACAAGUAGUCAGAGCCCGUUAACGGGUGAUGGCGUGCCUUUUGUAGAAUGAACCGGCGAGUUACGAUCCCGUGCAAGGUUAAGCAGAAGAUGCGGAGCCGCAGCGAAAGCGAGUCUGAAUAGGGCGAAUUGAGUACGUGGUCGUAGACCCGAAACCAGGUGAUCUACCCAUGUCCAGGGUGAAGUUCAGGUAACACUGAAUGGAGGCCCGAACCCACGCACGUUGAAAAGUGCGGGGAUGAGGUGUGGGUAGGGGUGAAAUGCCAAUCGAACCUGGAGAUAGCUGGUUCUCUCCGAAAUAGCUUUAGGGCUAGCCUCAAGGUAAGAGUCUCGGAGGUAGAGCACUGAUUGGACUAGGGGCCCCUACCGGGUUACCGAAUUCAGUCAAACUCCGAAUGCCGAUGACUUAUCCUUGGGAGUCAGACUGCGAGUGAUAAGAUCCGUAGUCGAAAGGGAAACAGCCCAGACCGCCAGCUAAGGUCCCAAAGUAUACGUUAAGUGGAAAAGGAUGUGGAGUUGCUUAGACAACCAGGAUGUUGGCUUAGAAGCAGCCACCAUUUAAAGAGUGCGUAAUAGCUCACUGGUCGAGUGACUCUGCGCCGAAAAUGUACCGGGGCUAAACGUAUCACCGAAGCUGCGGACUGUUCUUCGAACAGUGGUAGGAGAGCGUUCUAAGGGCUGUGAAGCAAGACCGGAAGGACUUGUGGAGCGCUUAGAAGUGAGAAUGCCGGUAUGAGUAGCGAAAGAGGGGUGAGAAUCCCCUCCACCGAAUGCCUAAGGUUUCCUGAGGAAGGCUCGUCCGCUCAGGGUUAGUCGGGACCUAAGCCGAGGCCGAAAGGCGUAGGCGAUGGAUAACAGGUUGAUAUUCCUGUACCACCUCCUCACCAUUUGAGCAAUGGGGGGACGCAGGAGGAUAGGGUAAGCGCGGUAUUGGAUAUCCGCGUCCAAGCAGUUAGGCUGGGAAAUAGGCAAAUCCGUUUCCCGUGAAGGCUGAGCUGUGAUGGCGAGCGAAUUAUAGUAGCGAAGUUCCUGAUUCCACACUGCCAAGAAAAGCCUCUAGCGAGGUGAGAGGUGCCCGUACCGCAAACCGACACAGGUAGGCGAGGAGAGAAUCCUAAGGUGAUCGAGAGAACUCUCGUUAAGGAACUCGGCAAAAUGACCCCGUAACUUCGGGAGAAGGGGUGCUCUGUUAGGGUGCAAGCCCGAGAGAGCCGCAGUGAAUAGGCCCAGGCGACUGUUUAGCAAAAACACAGGUCUCUGCGAAGCCGUAAGGCGAAGUAUAGGGGCUGACGCCUGCCCGGUGCUGGAAGGUUAAGAGGAGCGCUUAGCGUAAGCGAAGGUGCGAAUUGAAGCCCCAGUAAACGGCGGCCGUAACUAUAACGGUCCUAAGGUAGCGAAAUUCCUUGUCGGGUAAGUUCCGACCCGCACGAAAGGCGCAACGAUCUGGGCACUGUCUCAACGAGAGACUCGGUGAAAUUAUAGUACCUGUGAAGAUGCAGGUUACCCGCGACAGGACGGAAAGACCCCGUGGAGCUUUACUGCAGCCUGAUAUUGAAUGUUGGUACAGCUUGUACAGGAUAGGUAGGAGCCUUGGAAACCGGAGCGCCAGCUUCGGUGGAGGCAUCGGUGGGAUACUACCCUGGCUGUAUUGACCUUCUAACCCGCCGCCCUUAUCGGGCGGGGAGACAGUGUCAGGUGGGCAGUUUGACUGGGGCGGUCGCCUCCUAAAAGGUAACGGAGGCGCCCAAAGGUUCCCUCAGAAUGGUUGGAAAUCAUUCGCAGAGUGUAAAGGCACAAGGGAGCUUGACUGCGAGACCUACAAGUCGAGCAGGGACGAAAGUCGGGCUUAGUGAUCCGGUGGUUCCGCAUGGAAGGGCCAUCGCUCAACGGAUAAAAGCUACCCGGGGAUAACAGGCUUAUCUCCCCCAAGAGUCCACAUCGACGGGGAGGUUUGGCACCUCGAUGUCGGCUCAUCGCAUCCUGGGGCUGUAGUCGGUCCCAAGGGUUGGGCUGUUCGCCCAUUAAAGCGGUACGCGAGCUGGGUUCAGAACGUCGUGAGACAGUUCGGUCCCUAUCCGUCGCGGGCGCAGGAAAUUUGAGAGGAGCUGUCCUUAGUACGAGAGGACCGGGAUGGACGCACCGCUGGUGUACCAGUUGUUCUGCCAAGGGCAUCGCUGGGUAGCUAUGUGCGGACGGGAUAAGUGCUGAAAGCAUCUAAGCAUGAAGCCCCCCUCAAGAUGAGAUUUCCCAUUCCGCAAGGAAGUAAGAUCCCUGAAAGAUGAUCAGGUUGAUAGGUCUGAGGUGGAAGUGUGGCGACACAUGGAGCUGACAGAUACUAAUCGAUCGAGGACUUAACCAA
rnacentral:rRNA from 1 species